CCCAUCCAAACACAAGGCUGGCACUGAAUGACUCAAGCAUCAGCGACUGGUGGCUUCUGACCCUGGGUGAGAAGAGUUGACCCCAGAGGCAGGAGGAAGGAAACCAUAUCGUAAAUACACCCUCAGAGGGCAGGAUGCUUUCUGAGCACUCAGGCUGAGGAAGUUGCUUCAAAGCAGACUCAAGAAACUGCUGGUUGCUGCUGCUAGAUGACUUCCAACUGCUGUGUCCACACCGAGCCACGCCCAUAUCCUCCCAAGAAGAUAAAACCUUGACAAGUAAGCUACACUGUGAAUUCCAGCGGAGACGGAACAAAGAGAAGAUCCCGAAUAGACAGCUGAAUCACUAAGUGACCUGUGCCUCUCUUUCCUCUUCCUGAAACACCAAGCAGAAAGCAGAGAUUCUCCUUAUCAAAGAGGGAACAGGCUCAAUGACAUAAUUCAUGAGCUCAUAGGAAAAAUGAGGUGAAAAAUGAGAGAAAAAAGGUGUGUGCUGUUAAAGCCAUCGGAAGUUAAAGGCCCUGUCCUGCCUUAUGCCAGAAGCUCCUGUGUGAUAAAGAUAUCACUCUAUAUCUCUCAGUUCUUGAAGUCAAUGAGGUUUUGUUUUUAUCACAUUUAUUUACUGGCCUAUAAAUCUCUAAACACUAUUUAUCUAAAUAGACCAAAUUCAUUUUAACAUAUUUCCCUUAGCUAGAACAGCAAACCUCACUCUAUGGUCCCUUCUGGAAUUCUUAGGAUACAGUGUGGAAAGUAUUUGAAACCAGUUAAAAACACAGAAAUAAUUUCCACGAAACCACAGCAUACUCAGGCACAGAUAUUAAAUUCAUAUAGAAGGAGGCAUUUAAAAAAGAUUCAGAAGCAUUUUGCAAAUUCUGGAUGUUAAGUGCGAGAAAAUAUUAUACCCAGAAGGGUAUAACAAGCAUGUACAAAAUUAAAUCAGCAGAUAGAAUCUAAACGUUAUCAAAAAUAUGAUGAACCGGAUGAGGUGGCACAUGCCUGUAAUCCCAGAAACUCAGGAGGCUGUGGCAGGAGGAUCAUGGUUUCAAAGUCAGCCUCAAAAACUUAGUAAGGCCCUGUUUCAAAAUAAAAAGGGGACGUGGCUCAGU